rnacentral:lncRNA from 1 species
GUGUAUUGCAUAGUUCUAGGGACUGGAUUUCACUAAAAACCCACCAAAUGAGUCCACCCACCAUAUUAUGAUGUUCCCUAAGUCUUGGACUCAAUCCGAUAUCGAUUGGUCCAUGAAAUUGGACAAUUCAAGUUCGUACGAAGUUCGUUAUGAAAUGGAGUGGUUGGUGUAUUGCAUAGUUCUAGAGAUUGUAUUUCUCUCAAAACCAACCAAAUGACUCCUCCCAC